GCAUUGAAAAAAUGUCCCACAAUCACAUUUGCAGAGAAAAGCUUAAAACCAGGAUUCUAAAUGCUUCAAUGCCAAAAGACACUUGACUUCACCAGAAGUGUGGAUGCUCAGCCCUUUUGAUCAUCAAACCCACUGUAUCCAUUAAAAUGGAUGCACUCCGUUUAGCAGCCACUCUUCAAAAUUUGACCCAAAAUGACUUCCACAAUAUCCAGAACCAACAACAAAGACAAGGCCCAACAGGACCAGCAAUGGCAGCAGAACAGAGCUGGCUCCAUGGGGAGCUCUGGACCAUCAGCAGCAACACUAGAGAGCUGACUCCAUGGCCAGAUCAUCAUAUCAAGCUGGAAAUGCCAAUAAUGAGCUGAUUUCAAAGCACCCUAACUCACCCAGUUGGUAGAAGUGAAACAAAACUACUGAACCGCACUAGAAGGCUGCACUGUGGAGUGGGACCUAACUGCACAAUUCUUUCAGGACCAGAGCAGACCAGCAGAGGAGAGCCACCCCUGGACACCUUUGACUAUCAUUGAUUCAAUCUGUGAGUGGGUUUUUGGUGGGGUAGAUGAUGAGCCAGGUUUCUGGACCUUCAUCAGCUGGACAUUUAU